UACGUAGGGUGCGAGCGUUAAUCGGAAUUACUGGGCGUAAAGCGUGCGCAGGCGGUUUUGUAAGGCAGAUGUGAAAUCCCCGGGCUUAACCUGGGAAUGGCAUUUGGGACUGCAAGGCUUGAGUGCGGCAGAGGAGACUGGAAUUCCUGGUGUAGCAGUGAAAUGCGUAGAUAUCAGGAGGAACACCGAUGGCGAAGGCAGGUCUCUGGGCUGACACUGACGCUCAUGCACGAAAGCAUGGGGAGCAAACAGG
rnacentral:rRNA from 1 species